CGAUUGAGCACAUCCCAGAGGGAGCCUUCGAUGGGCUACACAAUCUUGAAUUGUUGGAUUUGUCAUUCAAUCGUAUCCACUCAAUUCCUCCAAAGAUUCUUACCAAUAUGCCGAGACUGAAAACUUUGAACAUCGGGAACAACAACAUCAUACGUGUUCAUAGUGGAGCAUUUCAUGGAUUACCAUCACUGGAAAACCUGU